rnacentral:rRNA from 1 species
AUUGAACGCUGGCGGCAUGCCUUACACAUGCAAGUCGAACGGUAACAGGUCUUCGGAUGCUGACGAGUGGCGAACGGGUGAGUAAUACAUCGGAACGUGCCUAGCUGUGGGGGAUAACUACUCGAAAGAGUGGCUAAUACCGCAUGAGAUCUACGGAUGAAAGCAGGGGAUCGCAAGACCUUGUGCUACUAGAGCGGCCGAUGGCAGAUUAGGUAGUUGGUGGGAUAAAAGCUUACCAAGCCGACGAUCUGUAGCUGGUCUGAGAGGACGAUCAGCCACACGGGGACUGGGACACGGCCCAGACUCCUACGGAGGGCAGCAGUGGGGAAUUUUGGACAAUGGGCGAAAGCCUGAUCCAGCAAUGCCGCGUGCAGGAUGAAGGCUUUCGGGUUGUAAACUGCUUUUGUACGGAACGAAAAGCCCCGGGUUAAUACCCUGGGGUCAUGACGGUACCGUAAGAAUAAGCACCGGCUAACUACGUGCCAGCCGCCGCCGUAA